GACGAACGCUGGCGGCGUGCCUAAUACAUGCAAGUAGAACGCAGUUGCGAACGUGUGAGUAACGCGUAGGUCACUGCCUCAUAGCUGGGGAUAACUAUUGGAAACGAUAGCUAAUACCGCAUACUGUGAGAUGGACCUGCGUUGUAUUAGCUAGGUGGUGUGGUAAAGGCUCACCAAGGCGACGAUACAUAGCCGACCUGAGAGGGUGAUUGGCCAGACUGGGAGUGGGACACGGCCCAGAGUCCUACGGGAGGCAGCAGUAGGGCAUCGUCGGGAAUGGACGGAAGUCUGAGCGAGCAACGCCGAGUGAUGGAGGAAGGUUGUCGGAUCGGAAAGCUCUGUUGUCAGAGAAGCGGUAGCUAACCAGAAAGCGACGGCUAACUACGUGCCAGCAGCCGCGGUAAUAC
rnacentral:rRNA from 1 species